AAAAACCUAGCGUAAUAGAAAACUAUUUAACUAUAUUUGAUUAUCACCAAACUUAUUUUAAGAUUUACUCUUUGUUUGUUUAUUUAUUUGACCACAAUUAAAUGUUUUAUUGUUUUUUGACUUGUUUAAAUAUUUCCAAGGAUCGACGAUUCUUGAUUGUAGACUUGAAAACCUGACAAUUCAUAUCAUUGAAUUGGAAUACGAAAUAGGCCUACAAUGUGUCCCUCAAAUAACCCUAUGUAACCGACUAUAACAAUAGAAACCAAUUGAAUAUGCUGUCAAUCACUAAAUUGAAAUAAUGUUUUAACUGAUUAUGUCGUGAAUAUUUUAAUUUUUAAUCAAACUUGCGUGACAAACCAUAGCAAGCAAAGCAAGAUUAGAAGCCAAAAUAGAUACUAACUUUUUUUUUCUUUUUUUGAGAGGAAGAAGGUACUAAAUCCUUACAAACAUAAUAUUGUAGGGUUUUCAAACAUAACGGGUGUAAAUAAUAUAUUGAAGAGCUGAACAUAAAAAUAUUAACGAACUUUGCAUCAGGUCUUAUUUUAUUUGCAAGGUCAAAGAUUAAUUAGAGUUGUAGUUGGUAACGCCACCAAACUGAAUAAAUAUUUCAAAGUACCUUGGAGUUGCA
rnacentral:lncRNA from 1 species